rnacentral:ncRNA from 2 species
CAGAAGCCCCCGGGGAGCGCAGGAGCGCUGAGAGUGCGGCCGGACGACCCGUCGUCCCACCCGCAGACCCGUGGAACCUGACCUGGUUCGCACCAGCGUAGGGAGCAGGGCACUCGUCGCCGG